GUGGGGAAUAUUGGGCAAUGGGCGAAAGCCUGACCCAGCAACGCCGCGUGAAGGAAGAAGGUUUUCGGAUCGUAAACUUCUAUCCUUGGUGAAGAUAAUGACGGUAGCCAAGAAGGAAGCCCCGGCUAACUACGUGCCAGCAGCCGCGGUAAUACGUAGGGGGCAAGCGUUGUCCGGAAUGAUUGGGCGUAAAGGGCGCGUAGGCGGCGCGGUAAGUCUGAAGUGAAAGUCCUGCUUUUAAGGUGGGAAUUGCUUUGGAUACUGUCGGGCUUAAGUGCAGGAGAGGUAAGCGGAAUUCCCGGUGUAGCGGUGAAAUGCGUAGAGAUCGGGAGGAACACCAGUGGCGAAGGCGGCUUACUGGACUGUAACUGACGCUGAGGCGCGAAAGUGUGGGGAGCAAACAGGAUUAGAUACCCUUGUAGUCC
rnacentral:rRNA from 1 species